ACUAAAAACCUAGCCCCACCAUUAAAAUAAUUCCCUCCCCCACUUCAUUUUUACACAAUAAAACAUUUUAAUAAUUUAGUAAAGGCGAUAGAAAAAUUUAUUGGAGCUAUAAAAUUAGUACCGUAAGGGAAAAGUGAAAUAGAAAUGAAAUAAAAAUUAAGUACAAAAAAGUAGAGAUACCACCUCGUACCUUUUGCAUCAUGGUUUAACCAGUCAUAAUUAAGCAAAACGAAUUUAAGUUUAACCCCCCGAAACUAGACGAGCUACUUCAAGGCAGCUUAAUGAGCCAACCCGUCUCUGUUGCAAAAGAGUGGGAAGACCUUCAAGUAGAAGUGAAAUACCAAUCGAGUUUAGUGAUAGCUGGUUACCCAAUAAAAGAAUCUUAGUUCUCCCUAAAGCCUACUUAAUUUACAUAAAUAGACCGUUUGCUUUAGAGUUAUUCAAAUAAGGUACAGCCUAUUUGAAACAGGAUACAACCUAAAAUAAUGGGUUAUUUUUUUAUAAUACUAAAGUGGGCCUAAAAGCAGCCACCUCUAAAAUAGCGUCAAAGCUUGUCUUAUUCUACGCACCAAAUUUCUUAAAUAACUUAAAAACCCUUAACCACCAUUGGGUACUUCCAUUCUUUAAUGGAAAUUAUAAUGUUAAAACUAGUAACAAGAAGCAAGCCUUCUCUUAAAUGUAAGUAUAAGCCAGUAAGGAUAGUCCGCUGUCAAUUAACACAUAUGAACUCUAAGUAGCAACAUUACAAGAAAACCCUGCUUAAUUAAUAUGUUAAUCUAACACAAGAACAUUUCAAGAAAGAUUUAAAAAAAAAGAAGGAACUCGGCAAACAUUAACCCCGCCUGUUUAUCAAAAACAUCGCCUCUUGAAUGCAUAUAAGAGGUCCAGCCUGCCCAGUGACUCAGUUCAACGGCCGCGGAAUCCUAACCGUGCGAAGGUAGCGUAAUCACUUGUUCUUUAAAUGGGGACUAGUAUGAACGGCAUCACGAGGGUUAUACUGUCUCCUUUUUUCGAUCAGUGAAACUAAUCUUCCCGUGAAGAAGCGGGAAUUUUAAUAUAAGACGAGAAGACCCUAUGAAGCUUUAAACAAACUAACACCCGCUGUCACUAAAACACCUUCCAGAACAAAAUAAAAAAUACAGCACCAUGAUUAUAAGUUUUAGAUUGGGGUGAUCAUGGAGUAAAAAUAAACCUCCACGUUGAAUGGGUAAUACCCUGAACAAAAAGCUACAACUUUAAGUACUAAUAAAUUAACACUCUUGACCCAAUACCACGAUCAACGAACCAAGUUACUCUAGGGAUAACAGCGCAAUCUACUUUAAGAGCCCCUAUCGACAAGUAGGUUUACGACCUCGAUGUUGGAUCAGGGUAUCCCAGUGGUGUAACCGCUACUAAUGGUUCGUUUGUUCAACGAUUAAAACCCU
rnacentral:rRNA from 1 species